rnacentral:pre_miRNA from 1 species
CGGUUUUCACCUUGAUCUGAGAGCAAUAACCAGAAUGCUUAUCUGAGAUCAUCGUGAAAGCUAGU